GGAAGUAAAAGUCGUAACAAGGUUUCCGUAGGUGAACCUGCGGAAGGAUCAUUAACAUUAAUUUACUACACACUGUUUUUUUACAACAAAACAAAUCUAUCUAAAAACAAUUCUUUACAAGAAAUUCUUAAAACUUUCAACAACGGAUCUCUUGGUUCUCGCAUCGAUGAAGAACGCAGCGAAAUGCGAUACGUAAUACGAAUCGCAGCUCUCGGAAUCAUCGAAUCUUUGAACGCACAUUGCACCAUUGGGUAUUCCCAAUGGUAUGCUUGUUUGAGCGAAUACUUCCCUAAUCCUCACGGAUUGUAUUGUGUUUGCACGAAAAUAAUGACGACAGUACUCUACAAAACGGUACCGUCAGUACACUCAUUUUUUUUCCUCAAAUCAAGUAGGACUACCCGCUGAACUUAAGCAUAUCAAUAAGCGGAGGAAAAACAAAUGAGUGUACUGACGGUACCGUUUUGUAGAGUACUGUCGUCAUUAUUUUCGUGCAAACAAAAUAUACUUGAUGAGGAUUAGGGAAGUAUUCACCCAACAAAGCAUACCAUUGGGAAUACCCAAUGGUGCAAUGUGCGUUCAAAGAUUCGAUGAUUCCAAUAGCUGCGAUUCGUAUUACGUAUCGCAUUUCG
rnacentral:rRNA from 1 species